GCGCGCAGAUUUCCUUCAGCGACUGCGCCCCACGAAUCACGACGGUUGUGCCUCCUCUCCACGCGGCCUCCUUCAAGCCGCCGUGCCGCCUCUCCGCGCCUUCUCGCGCCCGGGACGCCGCCGCCAAGCCUCCUCUUCGCGCGGCCUCCUUCAAGCCGCCGCGCCUCCUCUCCGCGCCUCCUCGCGGCCGGGACGCCGCCGCCAAGCCUCCUCUCCUACUCUCGAGUCGUGAGGCACCAGGGACCCGGGCGCCUAGGUCUUCGCCGCGCCCCCUGCUGCCGGCUGCCCCUGCUGCUCCCCGCGACCCUCCCCUGGCGCCACACGUCGUGCCGCCCCCUCUCCUCCACCACGAGUCGCGGCCUCGGCGCUCGGCACCUCCCUCCUACUCGCGAGGUACCAGGGGCCCAUGCGCCUAGGUCUUUGCCGCGCGCCCCCUGCUGCCCCCCGCGACCCUCCCCUGGAGCCGCAAGUCGUGCCGCCCGUGGCGCCCCUGUAACAUCCUCCUGUGAAGUCACCGAGAUCUCGAAGUCACGGCCGCCGCCAGAUCUGCUCCAAGAAACCAGGGCUGCCCUCCCGCCGAUCGGAGCUAUGCCCGUGAUUUACUCGUAGUUCUGAAAUUUGUGUUGCUACACUUUUGGUAUAUUUGUAAUAUUAAUAUAUUGGAGUUAUUAAUAGUAAUAUAAUUAUAUAGUCAAGGUACUUAAAAAUAUAAUAGUUAUUGAAUUCUCCUCGUAUUUAGCAAAAAAAAUGAGAUAUCAUCAGCUUUAGGGGCAUUUCAGAUAAUUUACCACUCAACUCAGAGAAUCGACUCAAAAUAAUCAGGAUUGCCAAACACUCAGCUUAUUCAGACAACCGAUUCUCCAGACAACUGGCUUAUCUCAGAAUCCUGAUUCUCAGAAAAGUGAGACUCAGAAAAGCGGAAACAAACAGGGCCUUAGUUUUUCCAUCCAUUGUAUCCUUGAUGUGGACACGUCUGUGGGUGGACCUAGGGUUUCUGAUGCAAGUGAUGCCAUAUGCUGGGUGCUGGUUUUAUGCAGAUGGUAGUGCAGGUAGCAUGUACGGGAGAUGCCUGAUCUACAUCUACCCCUUCCGAAUAAACUCAGGAGUCAGGAUCUAUGGUAUUGAUGCAGUCGUUGAGCAAGAGGGUACGUAAAAUAAGUUACAGAAUGGAUCCGUGAAUUCUGCAGCUAAUAAUCAGGGUCACUUCUUGAUGGUAGUAAGCAGGAGUAGCCCAAGGAGGAAACUGAUCAGCUCCCAAAAGGUUUUACUUUUUUGAAUAUACUAAACUCAGUAAUUGUUGAUCAUAUUUAUUUGUCCAAGCUAAAGAUGCUAUCAGAAUAAUUGGAGUGGGCUCUUGGAAAUUGAAUCUAUGCUACUUUUCAUACUCAAGUGAUUUUUUUCAUGGACCAAUGAGGUUUCAGUGUGUUGUUGGAAAUCUAUGCUAUUCUGCUUUUGUGUCUUUUUUUGCAUGGGUUUGAAAUCUAUUUCAUUUUAUGGUUGGUUACAAUAUAUUUUGGUUGUAUCGCAUUACCAAAUGCUGCUGUAGCGUUAGCACGGCAUUAUACUUUUAGUUUUUAGGAUCUCACCUAGAUUGAGGUUAGUUGUGUUAGCUUAGGUUGAAUGUGGCACCAAAACAUAAUAGAUAUCAGCUUUCUUUUAGCAGGAUGCCAGCUUUGAUGCUGCUGUGGAAGAAUUAUUCAAACACAAAUUGUGAUGAUAGUUUUAUAUUGCGGCAUUGAAGUUGAUGUCAAGCAAUAGUUUUAUAUUGCGGCAUUGAAGUUGAUGUCAAGCAAUUGGGAGAAAGAUAGAUAGAAAUAUUUGGAGCCGAAUAUUGUGGCUUGAAAUAUUCAGUAGUCACCCACUCACCAACAGACAACAUACAUAAUCUAUUUUAUAUCUCUGAUAGUGAUCUUUGCUGUUCUUUUUCUGUGCACCCGGCCAUACUACCUAACCAUUUUUACUUUCAGAUGAUAAAAUUCAACAGAUGCUUCAUCUAUGCGGCUGGUCAUGUAGGCACUGUAUAUCACAACAAAAAUAACCUUUACUUGCAUUAUUAAUUUAUCAUGCUUCAUUGUUUAGGCCUUUUGAUUUUACAGCACAUAGCCUUUAAGGCUAUCAGGUUGUGCCUGUACCUUAUCUUGUUCUAUAAAUCUAAGAAGAUAAAGCUUUGCUCGGCUGUGUAUAUAUUUAUUUUUAACUCUUGAGUCAUUAAAGGGCAG